GGGAGAAAGGUCACUGUUGGUUGUGUGUCGGCAGACUGUAAAUCUGUUCCCUUGUGGUAAACAUCGGAGGUUCAAUUCCUCCUUCUCCCA
rnacentral:tRNA from 1 species